rnacentral:rRNA from 1 species
UACAGAGGUCUCAAGCGUUGUUCGGAUUCAUUGGGCGUAAAGGGUGCGUAGGCGGCGCGGUAAGUCGGGUGUGAAAUCUCGGAGCUUAACUCCGAAACUGCAUUCGAUACUGCCGUGCUUGAGGACUGGAGAGGAGACUGGAAUUUACGGUGUAGCGGUGAAAUGCGCAGAUAUCAGGAGGAACACCAAUAGCGAAGGCAGCUCGCUGGGACGGUACUGACGCUGAGGCGCGAAAGCGUGGGGAGCGAACAGG